rnacentral:rRNA from 1 species
CGGGUGGUAAUGCCGGAUGCUCCGACAUGACGCAUGUCGUGUCGGGAAAGAUUCUAUCGGUAUGGGAUGGGGUCGCGUCCUAUCAGCUUGAUGGCGGGGUAACGGCCCACCAUGGCUUCGACGGGUAGCCGGCCUGAGAGGGCGACCGGCCACAUUGGGACUGAGAUACGGCCCAGACUCCUACGGGAGGCAGCAGUGGGGAAUAUUGCACAAUGGGCGCAAGCCUGAUGCAGCGACGCCGCGUGCGGGAUGACGGCCUUCGGGUUGUAAACCGCUUUUGACUGGGAGCAAGCCCUUCGGGGUGAGUGUACCUUUCGAAUAAGCACCGGCUAACUACGUGCCAGCAGCCGCGGUAAUACGUAGGGUGCAAGCGUUAUCCGGAAUUAUUGGGCGUAAAGGGCUCGUAGGCGGUUCGUCGCGUCCGGUGUGAAAGUCCAUCGCUUAACGGUGGAUCCGCGCCGGGUACGGGCGGGCUUGAGUGCGGUAGGGGAGACUGGAAUUCCCGGUGUAACGGUGGAAUGUGUAGAUAUCG